rnacentral:sRNA from 1 species
UUGCCCUGCGACGCGAUGGCCGAGGCGA